rnacentral:misc_RNA from 1 species
AGGGAUAAAACUACAGUUUCUCAAACAGCCGUAUCAUUCUCAAAUGCAUUCUCUUUUUACAAUAUCCACCUCAUUAAAUUAUUCAAAUUCAAUUUCAAAUUAUCAAACGAUUACUCUGGUUACAACAAAAACAAAUGUAACGCACAAGCACACGCUCAUCAACCCGUCUGCAUAUAACAGAAGCUCUUUACCUGACAGUGACACAAAACGCAUGAAGCAGAGAUAUAGAGCUCACUGGAUUUCACUUACCAACAACAUCUGGGGACGGCACCUAACCUUCAUUGAGUAGGGAGACUAUCUUCUUCACUUCUUCAGUGGUUCCAUU